GCGAAAUAGCUCAGUUGGGAGAGCGUUAUACUGUAGGUCGAAAGGUCCCUAGUACGAUCUUGGGAUUCGGCA
rnacentral:tRNA from 1 species